ACCACGUUGUCCCAUCCAGCCUCGUGACUAGUUGUACCUUCAGACCCAGAGUCACAUUUGUCUCCUCUUAUGUCUCCUGGUGAAAGCCCUUCCUCUUUCUUCUUCUUCUUCUCAGAGUUCUGUUCUCCCUGCCAGGAAGUCCCGCCUUCCACUUCCUUCCCCUUCCAGCUAUUAGCCGUUAGCCUUUAUUCUAUAAAAAGCCACCAUCCAGUCUGAAUCAAUCAUUAGCAGGAGAGCUCCCAGUCCAUCUCUUUGGGUUACCCUUCGGCUGGAAUGAGGGCUACUUGGUAACUUUCAUGACAGCUUGCUUUUUAACGUGAUAAUCUCAGAGAAUCAUCUUUUGGGCAGCCGAAGCUUGCUGAAUCUUUAAUCUAGAGUUAAAGCAUGGGACAGUCAGCUGAGAUCACAGAAUGGGAGAACACCUUUGACUGCCAGACUUAUAGUUGGAAUCUCUAAACAACUCUAAAAAUGAAACGCUGAAAUCGUCGAAUCAACACAUGGGCAAACAGAGUUCAUAGAACAUUUCUUACUUCAGGAGGUGUCCGGCCUCAGAAAAUGCUGCUCCAAAGUCCUUUGGAUGGAAUUGAAUGAGACCUAGAGGAUUCACAAGGAAUCUCCAUUUUGAAGAUGGUGGCAGAUUCAAGAUCAGAAGUCUCACAGAGAGGGCUCCUGCUGAACGCCUGGGAGAAGAAUAGACCAGAAGGAGGCUGGACACAGAGGCUGUGUGGGGCCACUCCAGCCUAUCACCAGGACACCUAAGCCUUCUGUCCAGUUGUGCUUUACACUGUCCUCCAGGCUUCCAAACAGUUUUCAUUGAGUCUUUGGAUGCUCAUUUCUGAAGCCACAUUAAAUCGAGGC
rnacentral:lncRNA from 1 species